UCAGGCAUAUAUCCUUAAAACUAAGAAAAUAUAGGUUUCCCAGGGUGCUCUCAUAGAAUUUUUGCAGCUGCAUGCCUUGGUAAACUUUUUCUGGAUAAGUUUGGCAGUAUGUAUUAAAAGCCUUGAUGUUUGGAAUACCCUUUAACAAAGCAACCUACUUCCAAUAAUUCCUAUGGAAAUAUCAUACUUGUUUGCAAAUGUUCAGCUGUAAGAUUAUUCUACAUAGCACUGCUUAUAAUAUUAAAAAAUAGAAAUCAUCUGAAUGUCUGACAAAAGAGUAUUAUAAAUAGGGUUGGAUUCUUACACAGGAGGCUAAGGUGGGAGGAUCACUUGAGCCCAGGAGUUGGAGGCUGUGGUGAGCAAUAAUCGUGCCACUACAUUCCAGCCUGGUUGACAGAGCAAGGCCCUGUCUCUUAAAAAAAAAAAAAAGGUACCGAGUUGGUACAUUCAUAAAAUGAAAGACAAUACAACUCUUUAAAAUAUUGCUUAUUUAAAAUGUUCACAAAUAUACUAGUAAAUGGGAAAGUGUAGCAUACAAAGUAGUAUGUAUGUGAUUCCAGCCUGAGCAACAUGGCAAAACCCCAUCUCUACAAACAAUACAAAAAUUAGCUGGAUGUGGUGGCAUGUCCCAGGCUAGGUGACAGAGCCAUGGAUAGCAUAGUCCCAGCUACUCGGGAGGCUAACGUGGGAGGAUUGCUUAAGGCCAGGGAGUCAAGGCUGCAGUGAACCGUGUCUGCGCCACUGCACUCUAGCCUGGGCAAUAGAGCAAGACCUUGUCUCAAAAAACUUUUUUUGCCGGACACAGUGGCUCACGCCUAUAAUCCCAGCACUUUGGGAAGCCAAGAUGGGUGGAUCACCUGAGGUCAGGAGUUUGAGACCAGCCUGGCUAACAUGGUGAAACCUCGUCUCUACUAAAAAUACAAAAAUUAG
rnacentral:lncRNA from 1 species